rnacentral:rRNA from 1 species
CCUACGGGAGGCAGCAGUGGGGAAUAUUGGACAAUGGGGGCAACCCUGAUCCAGCCAUGCCGCGUGUGUGAAGAAGGCCCUCGGGUUGUAAAGCACUUUCAGUGAGGAAGAACGCCUGGUGGUUAAUACCCAUCAGGAAAGACAUCACUCACAGAAGAAGCACCGGCUAACUCCGUGCCAGCAGCCGCGGUAAUACGGAGGGUGCGAGCGUUAAUCGGAAUUACUGGGCGUAAAGCGCGCGUAGGUGGCUUGAUAAGCCGGUUGUGAAAGCCCCGGGCUCAACCUGGGAACGGCAUCCGGAACUGUCAAGCUAGAGUGCAGGAGAGGAAGGUAGAAUUCCCGGUGUAGCGGUGAAAUGCGUAGAGAUCGGGAGGAAUACCAGUGGCGAAGGCGGCCUUCUGGACUGACACUGACACUGAGGUGCGAAAGCGUGGGUAGCAAACAGGAUUAGAACCCUUGUAGUC